rnacentral:lncRNA from 1 species
GGUGUAGCUCCAACCCUAAAGAGUGCCUGGCUCACCAUAGUCAUAAAAAGAAUGAAAUAAUGCCAUUUGCAACAACAUGGAUGGACCUAGAGAUUAUCAUACUAAGUGAAGCAAGUCAGAAAGAGAAAGACAAAUGCCAUAUGAUAUCAUUUAUAUGUGGAAUCUUAAAAAAGGAUACAAAUGAACCUAUUUACAAAACAGAAACAGACUCACACACAUAGAAAAAAACUUAUGGCUACCAAAGUGGUGGAGGAGGGAUAGAGUAGGAGUUUGGAAUGAGCAGACACAAACUCUUAUACAUAAAAUAGAUAAAUAACAAGGACUUACUGUAUAGCACAGGAAACUAUAUUCACUACCUUGUAAUAACCUAUAAUGGACUAGAAUCUGAAAAAUAAUAUGUAUAUCUGAAUUACUUUGCUGUACACCAGAAACUAACACAACAUUGUAAAUCAACUAUACUUCAAUUCAAUUAAAAAAAAAAAAAGAAUGGGGUAUUCCCCUGUGACACAGCAGGAUAAGAAUCCAGUGUUGUCACUACAGUGGUUCAGGUUGGAGCUGUGACAUGGGUACAAUCCCUGGCCUGGGAACUUCUGUACGCUGCAGGUGUGGCUUAAAAAAAAAAAAAAAAAAAAAAAAAGAAUGGCUAAUACUGUGAGAAAAAUAAUGUAAAAACACUCAUUUGCUUGACUUGACUUCACUCAUUAAGGAAUAAUUGCACAGGACCAUCUAGAAAGAGAAAUGUGAUGUGAGCCCAGGUCCCCAACUCAAUGCCACAUUUGUCCUUUUCUGUUUGGAAAGGCUGGGGAUUUCCUAUUCCCUGUCUAUUCCUCCCCUUCAGUCCUUCCUCCAUUAAAACAAUGUGCUACCAAACAAAACACAAAGUUCCAAAAUGAUUAUUUGAAAUUAUUUAGUUUUUACCCUCCCUAGGUUAUAACCAGGUAAAAGCAAUAAAAACAAAAUCAAGGGAGUUCCCAUUAUGGCACAGUGGUAAAGAACCUGACUGGUAUCUAUGAAGACACAGGUUCAAUCCCUGGCCUCACUCACUGGGUUAAGGAUCUGGCAUUGCUAUGAGCUGUGGUAUAGGUCGCAGAUGUGAUAUGGAUCCUGUGUUGUUAUGGCUGUGGCGCAGGCCUGCAGCUGCAGCUCUGAUUCAGCCCCUGGCCUGGAAACUUCCACAUGUCAUAGGUGUGGCCCUUAAAGCAAAAAAAAAAAAAAAAAAAACCAAAAAACAAGAACAAAUAAAUAAACAAAAAACCACACAAGACUUUGGGGCCUAAUUACUGACCAAAUGUCAUCCUCUCCAAUCACUUUGAUGGCUUAUUUCUUUUUAAAAUUCAGCACACCCCUACAGGAGUGAGAGGCAGUAAGGACUGGCCUGUGGUGGUGACAGUAGACAUGGAAAAAGACAGAUGGUAGAGACUUUGGGAUUAGCUGGAUGCAAGGCUGGAAGGAAAGGAGAAGACAAAGGGGUGGGGAGGGGUCCUGCUGGAGCUCCCAGGAGACUCAUAUCAUCACUGAGCAGGUCCGAGAAACAGGAGGGUCAAGCUGAGUAGGAAGGAAAGAUGCGGAAUUUGCCUCUCCUGUGUUUCCUUGUUAUGCUUCAGCUGCACCAACCACAGCACCGUCAUCUCAUCAGUUCAUGUGAAAAGACGAUUUCUUCCUGAAGUUUCUUCUGCCAGAUCUCCCCAUGGCUGGCUUAGUGUCAACAUCACCUCUUCAGAAAGGCCCUCCUGACCAACUGAAGUAGCCAUCCAGCCUCUUGUCUCUGUCCGUGUUUUGUUUUCUUCAGGGCCCUCAGCACCACCUGAGGUUUCCUUGUUUAUCCAUUUCUGGUCCAUGUCUCCUCAGCUACAGUGUGGCUUCUAGGAGAGCAGAAGCCUCCUUCGUCCACUCGACCACAUUGGAUUUGCGGAGAUUGUGUCGAGGGCAGAGCAGGCUCUCAGGUGACACGAAAGGGGAAAGUCACCUAAGCUAUACAAGCUUUGGCAGGCUCAGAGCCCUAAUCUAAGAAGGAGAGAGCAAUUUAUCUUCCAGUCUCCCACAGACUCAGUCCCGGUAUUGCUUCUCAUAGAAAAACAGGAAACAAAGUAAGCCUCCAUCAUGGAGUUCCAGUCGUGGUGCAGCAGAAACGAAUCCGACUAGGAACCAUGAGGUUGCAGGUUCGAUCCCUGGCCUCGCUCAGUGGGUUAAAGAUCUGGUGUUGCCGUGAGCUGUGGUGUAGGUCGCAGACGCGACUUGGAUCUGGCGUUGCUGUGGCCUUGGUGUAGCCCGGCAGCUACAGCUCCAAUUAGACCCCUAGCCUGGGAAACUCCAUAUGCUGAGGGUGUGGCCCUAAAAGGCAAAAACACAAAACAAAACAAAACACAACAUAGGUGUCCAUCAAUGGGAGUCUAGUUAAAUAAAUAAGCAAAUGUGGUGCAUGAAUACGACAGAAUCCCGUGUGACCUGGCCAUUAAAAAUGGUAAUAAGAGUAUCUGCUGCAGAUGGAAAUACACGUACCCUUUCUCCGACCCAACGAUCCCAUUCCUGUAUCUAUCCCCACCAGGAACGCAUGUGCACAGCCACCAAACUACAUGCAAAAGAAUGCGCACAGCAGCCCAACUCACAAUAGCCCCAAACUGGACCAAAAUGUCCAUUAACAGCAGACUGGAUCACGUGUGACUGCGAUUGCCGAGAAUGCUGUCUAGCCGUGAGGGCAGAUCAACAACCCACACAACGACGUGGAUGAAUCUCACAAACAGAACGUGGAGUAAAAGAGGAAAGAAAGAGACGUUCUGUGCAGUUCAGUUCCAUUUACAGGAAGUUCAAAAGCAGGCACAGCUAAUCCCAGGCUGGUGGAAGGCAGGACACAGGUUAUCUGGGAAAGGAGUGCUGACGGGGAGAGGGCAGGAGAAACUUCCAAAAUGUGGGAAAUGUCCUGUUUCUUGAUCUGCUUCCUGGGUGCAGAGCUGUGUUCACUUUUUGAAAAUGUGUGGUGUUUCACACAUAUGACUUGCACUCUUUCCUGUGUGUAUGUGAUACAUCAAACGAAGAAAGAAAGGAAAAAGGAGGCAGAUCUACAUUUAUUGACGUGGCACAUGGGAAGACGUGCCGGCCUCAGCACAGAGAGGACAGGUACGCCCCUGUAGUAUAGUCAUUCCAGUUAUGCUAAGUUGCAGAAGCAGAGCUCUAAGGACCUAUAUGAAAAGAAGGUCACUCCAGGAAACAGUUCUCGUAGAGGUUAAUGGUGCUUACCUUGGAGUUGGAGUGUGAGUUUUGUUUAGUUUUGACUGUUUUAUACUUCUCUAUUUGUUUGCAUUUGUGUCUAGCAUAUGCAUCACUUUAUCCUCAGAGAAUGGUUUUUAUUUUUAAAAAACGCCUCCUUGAUGAAAAGGAAAAGGAAAACCUGCUUUUUAUUUCCCCCAGAAGCAAACCAAAGUCUACUGACCAAAGUCUACUGAAGAAAGUGACCAGGGACAGGACACAUACACGGUGGGCCUCUAACUCGAUUUGCAACUGCGCCAGGUUGUAAGCAUUUCCAAGGCUGGUCCUGGACAGAGCAGCCACUGUCUUUCAUGCCAACAGACAUGAAAACGGUAAAAAUGUGAGGGUGGACGAAGGGAGAGGUCGGAGUCUGCGGGAGUUCAGGGUAAAUGCUAUAGAAGUUGCAGGUGACCUGUUCUCCCUCCCUUUGAAGCAGAGAGCAGAUGGGUCCGUUUAUUAAAGGAAAGUAACCUCCAUUUAUCAUUCUUCAGCCUCUAAUCCGUAUGCUGUCCACCAUGGCGCUACCUCUCUUUGGCUCGGGUUGAGGGAUUCUACCAGUUUUGUCCCAGCCCUGCCUUCCCCAGCGUGCGAGACUUUCCUAUUUCUCCCUCAGCUCCCUUUCCCACCCAGAGCCUCCUCCACAAGCUCACAUACUCCAAAUUCUUUGACUGGGGGAUACAGUACUUUCUUGUACAAAGCCCAAGCUAAAAAUGUAAAUAACCCCGGGUGAGUUAACACAUGGCCUUAAUAUUCACACUAAGGUGUAAAUGUCUAAUAUAAGUUCGAAAGUGGAAGCUCCGAUGGGGGGAUGGGCACAGGGGAAGAAAGGCCCCUGUUUCCGCCCAGAGUUGGCCAGGUUGUGAUGGCACCUCCGUCCCCUCCACCGCAGCCCCCACCCCCACGCAGGCCUGUCCAGAAGAUCCCAAGCCACCCAGAAGCAGAAGGCAGCUCCCAUCACCCUGACCAGAUCUAUAUCCAUUCCAGACUCAGGAUUACAAUAAUUUGGGAGAGGGUCAACCAAGUCAGAGCCCCAGAUGGCAGAAGAGCUGCUUUAGCUUAAGACUCUUAACUCUUUUUCCUCGGGGCAGGAAAGGUUUGAGACAAUGAAGGAUGAGGCUUUCCAGGCCCGGGACACAACCUUGAUCCAAAGCCUAGUCAUGGCUUUAAUUUCUGUAAAUCAAAGCCUCAAGUUUUUCUUCACUCUCUUAGCUGAAGACAUGUUACCCAGGAUGGAGGGGGGAAAGAAAGGAAUAAUAGGUACCAAAUUGGAGGUUGUGUGACAUCCUGUGCCACUUAAACCCUUUGCAGGCAGGCAGAAAUCACUGCUUUACUAAAUUCCAUUUCCUAAGCGUUUUUUCCCCCCACUCCCAACCAUUGUCUUCACAGGAUCAUCCCAUACUUGGAAAACAUUUGUCUAAUUAUCAUCACACACGAUGGGCCUAUUGCCAGCUGCUUUUUAUUUUAACUUCAGAUUCUUUCCAGGGUGUUUGUUGUUUUUUUUUUUUUCCUCGGGGGUGGGGAGCGGGAGAGAGGAGUGCAUGUCUGUUUUUGCUAUUACGCAGAACCGAUCAGAUUUCCUUUUAUAAUCACAAUUAAACUUCCAGAUCCGAUCAUGUGAAUCCUUCAUGUUUAGAGGAUUGGAAUGCUCAUUGAUUCGGUCAGUCGCACAAAACUUUCCAAGUCUGGAGG